AUCAAAUAUCUAUAUCAAAGAGUAGUUUUAUACGUUGGUUGACGGAGAAAGCUUUUAAGGUAAGAAAAAAAAAAGUUUUAAUUUUUCUGGUAUGGAAAACAAAAGUGAAUGGUUCUUCUUCUUCAUCAUCUGUUUCUUCGGAUUAUCUCCUUGGUCCCAAGGACUCUUAUUCUUCAUCCACAAGUGGGAUUUUUUAGACUGUUUCCCCUCCCGUCAAAGGUGCUAGUUAAAAAAGGAUGGGGGAGAUGAUGAUCCCAAAGGAAGCAAUUCUAGUGGUGCUUCAAGAGGGAAUUGGUGGCAGGCUCACUUGAUUACUAACAUCUCAAUCCAAAAUACUGUAAGGUAACAUCUUUAUCUCUACAUGCACCCUCCAGGCUCCAAUUUUUAUUUUAUUUACAUGUACCACUUCGACAAUUUAAUCAUAGAGGAUUCAAUUUACAAGGGAAAAAAAUAAAAGUAGAAACUUAUUUUGAGGAAUAAUGAUCAGAGUUUGAAGAAUUUUCUUUUAUGUUCUUAGCAUAAUAUUUCUUCAUUUAGUCUAGCAUACUUCCCUUUGAUCCAACUGAUUGAAAUUAUGUUUACUGGCUAUUUUGCGGGAAUACUGGCGGCAUGAUCAAUCUUAUAUUACUAUGGAAAUAAGCUGGUAGAUAGCUCUGCUGUACAGUGGAAGCAUAUAGAGCAUAAUACAGCGUAUGACUUUUGGAAGAUUGUUGGGUUCUUUUUGUCCCAAUUCUUCCACUUGAGCAAGUCUCACCCAGUAAGCUGAUAUAUUUAGGGCAUCUUGUAUUUAUAAGUUGCCUAUGUACUGAAAUAUUCUCUGGAAUUUUUUUGCCCACAAGGGAAAUCAAUUAGUAUAACUAUAUAUUGACAUAUAUAUUCUGCCUCUCCUUCAACUUGAGUUUCACUUUCAAGGUCAGAUGCAUUUUAGCAUGUAUACAAUGAAUGAUCACAAACCUAAACCGUUUAGAAAACAGGAAAGGGGAGAGCAAAAUUUUUAUUUCAACUCAAAAAUUGAAACGGAUUAUUGAAAUAUCCAUAUAUUUAAUUACUUCAAAGGGAAGUUAUAUGUCUUUAGCUGAAAAAUUCCAAUUAAAGUCAUCGGAUUGGAUACCAGUUUCCAUAACUCUGGUCUAUUGUAUAAAGGAAUUGUUAGGGGCAUUUGAUCAUAUUGUAUAGAGGAAUUAUUAGGGGCAUUUGAUAGUCAAAAGAGUAUGAUGAUCUUUUCUUCUUUCAAAGCCUUUAGCAGAUAAUCAAGGGUAUCUUUGUCAUUUGUACUGACCUAAUGGCCAAUAUCAUCUUAGCUUGGCCUUGUCCUAAUUGUUCUCUUAUGGUUCCCUUCAACUUACCUAUAAAUACGAAGAUUUAGGCACAUGAAAGCAGGUUCAUCUCCUUCAUUUCUCUAUCUCCUUCCCGCUUUCUUGCCAAUCUGAUCUUUAUUGACUUGAGCAUCAGAGUGCAAACACAGGGAACACCUCAUGCCUUUGCCUUCAACCGUCCUUCUCUUAUGCAUUCACAGGGACACUCUCAAGUCAGAGUUUGGCACUAACAUUUGAUGCGUCAAGUAGGGGGUCUCGUAUUUAGCCAAUCAUAAAAUGUCACCAAGAAAAAAAAACCCUAAAAGAAGGAGAAAUAACUCGGCCAAAAGAACUCGAACUCAGCUCAAUCAAAAGAGCUCGAAUCUACCAAAUGCCUUCAUAAAGGUCCAAUUCAACAAAAUAGCUCGACCAAAAAAUUCGGACUCAGCUCGGCCAAAAAAGUUCAGAUUUACCAUAUGCCUUCGUAAAGGUCCAAUUCAACAAAACAGCUCGACCAAAAAGUUUAGAAUCAGCUUGGUCAAAAGAGCUCAGAUAUAUGAAAUGCCUUCAUAAAGGCCCAACUCAACAAAAUAGCUUAGCU